UCUCAGAUGUCUGGUGUGGGAAGAAGC
rnacentral:piRNA from 1 species